GAAAACAGCUGGGAUGAUUUUGAAGGCCAUGGGACAGGCAAAGACUUCAUCUGCAGCAGUGAAUCUCCUCAUAGAUAUUGGGUAUUUUCCUGUACAUGUAAAUCUCGAUUUGUUAAAGUUGAACCUCCCAACUGAUCAUCGGGAUGAGAUUAUAUCGGCCGCAGAGAGUCUUUUGUCUACAUCGAUUGACCUUGAUGAGGCUGAUAGAAUAGACCUGACUUCCCUGAAGGUUU
rnacentral:misc_RNA from 1 species